ensembl:lncRNA
GUUCGGGAAAGCUACCGUCACCAGGGUAGGUUGUAGAUGGACGACCAGCAGGGUAGGUUGUAGAUGGACGACCAGCAGGGUAGGUUGUAGUCGUGGUUUGUUUGUUGACUGUGGAAUAGACUGGAGAGAUGAACAAAGGGUUUGGGUCUGUCUGUAUUUCUGCCUCAUUGAUCUCCCCGUAAUCCUGCAAUGACAGUCAGGUUUAGAAACACGUGCACAUUUUACAAAAACCCUUGAAAAAACACAACAGAUUAAAAUAUUCGAAGACAAAGUGUUUGCAAGAAAGACACACAGCCUCAUCCAUAUUUGGGGGAGAAUUCAUGUGUUGUGUAGUUUGUGGUGGAUUUGUUUGUCUCCUGACUCCUCUCUUUCUGUAGAACAGGAGCGGAACCAGUCCUACCACUGUCACCAUGACUACCAGACCAACACUGGUCCACACCGUCAGACCUGAACACGGACAGAAAGAGAACAGGCAGGUAAACCGG